GGGUCAGUAGGCUGGUCGUGCCACCGGUACGUACUGGUCUCACUGAUUCCUCCUUCCUUAGGAACCGUAAUGCCAUUAAUUUGGUGUUGCGGGGAAACAGGACUGUUACUUUGAAAAAAUUAGAGUGUAUAAAGCAAGCUAACGCUUGAAUACAUUAGCAUGGAAUAAUGAAAUAGGACGAUCGAUCCUAUUUUGUUGGUUUCUAGGAUUGACGUA
rnacentral:rRNA from 1 species